UCUGAAAUCUUCUCUGAAAUUUCCCUUCUCUGGGAUCUCUUUCUUCCGCCGGCUCUUGCCUCCACGAUUUGGAAGGAGAUUUCUAUGGCCGUCAUUUCCUUCCUCGUGGAAAUCAGAUACAAGAAUUAUGUGCAAUGGAUUCAUAAAAUUGAAAUCGUGCUUCGGUAUUUACAAUUGGAUGUUUGGCGAUCACAAUUGCUUUACAAUUCUUUGAUGCAGCCUCUGGGUUUUUAUUUAUUCACGCAAUACAUAUGGUUUCUUCUCCUUUACAAUAUCAUUUAAUCAUCUUGGGUUACUUGCCUUUAUUUAUUUAUUUUUACCGAUUUGGUUAUCGCUGAUUUCUUUCAAGAACUCCUCUAGGAAUAUAUCUCCUUAUUUGACUCAACAAAGAAGACCGACAUUAAUGCAUAUGUGGAGGUGCGGGGUGCAAAAUGGCUCUUCAAGCAUUGUACGCUUCGAUUUGAAGAACAGAAGUAUCUACCCAUCGAGCCUCCGAUCAGAGUCGGAGAACUAUGCCAUUAAUCUGAAUCAGGAAACAUGGUUAUCGCUGCAAAACUGGGAGGGCACUAUCUACAUCUAGGUGGUUCAAAUCGAGCCGAUAGAGGCUAACAGGAGUCGAACUUAACCGAUCAGGAAACUAUGUUGGGGCUUUCAGGGUUUGUGUUACCUUUGACCAGAGGCGAGCAUACAACAAUAACUGAACAGGAGCUAUGUUUCUUGUGGUUGAUCGAUGUUAGCUUGACAAGGACAACAUUAAAAUCUUUGAGGGUCGAACUAAGGUGGAGGUGGUUCCUACAAUUCUCGGUGAUUGCAUGCAUAUAUCACGUAUGGAACAUCUAUGGGCAAUGUUCUUCUGUGGGAUUGCUUCAAACAUGCAAGAUUUUUUUUGAUGUAUGGAGGAAAGCACAUACUCUUGUCUUUUUCAUUUGGCUGGAUAUAUGUUAUAAUCUACCAAAGAAAGACAUGAUUAGGCUGGAAGGAGUCUCAAGAUUUUAGUCAUUAUGCUUUCUGGAUUAUAUGGCAUUACCUGCUAUGGAUGGAUAAAGCGCAGUGUUAAUCUAAGUAUGCUUUGAUAUAUUGUCUGUUUACAAUGGAAGUUAUUCUGCCAGGUAUGUCCACUUGGCAUUGGAGGGUUUGAAAUUACUAUCCGCUUACUGUAGCUUAUAGAAUUAGAAUUUUAACUUGGUUUAUGCUGGUUUAUCUUCAACAUGAUAAUUUUUGCAUGGAUUCCUACCUUAACAUACAUAUGUCUGGUAUGGAAUUAUAUAGCCAUCGACAUUAUCCUAAGGAUAGAUCGGUGCAGGGUAUGAAUGCUUGGUGCUGUAAUAUUCGAAGGAUUAAAUGUGGUAUUAGUAUGUGUUAUGGGAUGUUGGAUUCUUUUUUCUUUAAUUGCCAUAGAAAUG